rnacentral:rRNA from 1 species
CCUACGGGAGGCAGCAGUGGGGAAUAUUGGGCAAUGGGCGCAAGCCUGACCCAGCAACGCCGCGUGAAGGAAGAAGGCUUUCGGGUUGUAAACUUCUUUUGUCAGGGACGAAGAAAGUGACGGUACCUGACGAAUAAGCCACGGCUAACUACGGGCCAGCAGCCGCGGUAAUACGUAGGUGGCAAGCGUUAUCCGGAUUUACUGGGUGUAAAGGGCGUGUAGGCGGGACUGCAAGUCAGAUGUGAAAACCACGGGCUCAACCUGUGGCCUGCAUUUGAAACGGUAGUUCUUGAGUACUGGCGAGGCAGCCGGAAUUCCUAGUGUAGCGGUGAAAUGCGUAGAUAUUAGGAGGAACACCAGUGGCGAAGGCGGUCUGCUGGACAGCACCUGACGCUGAGGCGCGAACGCGUGGGGAGCAAACAGGAUUAGAUACCCCAGUAGUC